GCUCGGAUGGUGGAAUGGUAGACACAGAGGACUUAAAAUCCUCUGGCUUGAAAAAGCCGUGCUGGUUCGAGUCCAGUUCCGAGCA
rnacentral:tRNA from 1 species